GACGAACGCUGGCGGCGUGCUUAACACAUGCAAGUCGAACGGUAAGGCCCUUCGGGGUACACGAGUGGCGAACGGGUGAGUAACACGUGGGUGAUCUGCCCUGCACUUCGGGAUAAGCCUGGGAAACUGGGUCUAAUACCGGAUAGGACCUCGCACUUCACGGUGUGUGGUGGAAAGCUUUUGCGGUGUGGGAUGGGCCCGCGGCCUAUCAGCUUGGUGGUGGGGUAAUGGCCUACCAAGGCGACGACGGGUAGCCGGCCUGAGAGGGUGACCGGCCAACGUGGGACGGGGAUACGGCCCAGACUCCUACGGGAGGAAGCAGGGGGGAAUAUUGCUCAAUGGGCGAAAGCCUGAUGCAGCGACGCCGCGUGAGGGAUGACGGCCCUCGGGUUGUAAACCUCUUUCAGCAGGGAAGAAACGCAAGUGACGGUACCUGCAGAAGAAGCACCGGCUAACUACGUGCCAGCCGCCGCCGUAACAC
rnacentral:rRNA from 1 species